rnacentral:rRNA from 1 species
CAUAUCAAUAAGCGGAGGAAAAGAAACCAACAGGGAUUGCCCUAGUAACGGCGAGUGAAGCGGCAACAGCUCAAAUUUGAAAUCUGGCGCAAGCCCGAGUUGUAAUUUGUAGAGGAUGUUUCUGGCGACGCGCCUUCCGAGUUCCCUGGAACGGGACGCCAUAGAGGGUGAGAGCCCCGUACGGUUGGAUGCCUAGCCUCUGUGAAACUCCUUCGACGAGUCGAGUAGUUUGGGAAUGCUGCUCUAAAUGGGAGGUAUACGUCUUCUAAAGCUAAAUACCGGCCAGAGACCGAUAGCGCACAAGUAGAGUGAUCGAAAGAUGAAAAGCACUUUGAAAAGAGGGUUAAAAAGUACGUGAAAUUGUUGAAAGGGAAGCGUUCAUGACCAGACUUGGGCAGGUUGAUCAUCCGUGGUUCUCCGCGGUGCACUCUGCCUGCCCAGGCCAGCAUCAGUUCGCCCCGGGGGAUAAAGGCUUUGGGAAUGUGGCUCCCUCGGGAGUGUUAUAGCCCACUGCGUAAUACCCUGGGGUGGACUGAGGUUCGCGCUCUGCAAGGAUGCUGGCGUAAUGGUCAUCAACGACCCGUCUUGAAACACGGACCAAGGAGUCGUCUUCGUAUGCGAGUGUUCGGGUGUCAAACCCCUACGCGUAAUGAAAGUGAACGUAGGAGAGAGCUUCGGCGCAUCUCCGACCGAUCCUGAUGUUCUCGGAUGGAUUUGAGUAAGAGCAUACGGGGCCGGACCCGAAAGAAGGUGAACUAUGCCUGUAUAGGGUGAAGCCAGAGGAAACUCUGGUGGAGGCUCGCAGCGGUUCUGACGUGCAAAUCGAUCGUCAAAUA